rnacentral:lncRNA from 1 species
AAUUGCUGUUUUUUGGAUAGGUGAUGAAAAUAAUGUUUCCCUUAGUUUAGAUUCGUAGAAGAAAAACUCUAUGAAUAUGUACAUAGGAUGUUAUUAUUGAGUCAUCAGGGACUAGUGAUAAAAAACAUGAUUUUCAGUAGUCUUGGAAUAGUCUUUGGUCACCACUGGUUGCUGGUUUUCAAUCACUGUGUUUGGUGUCACCUGAUUCCCCGUGGACUGUCAACACUCUUCAUCCUGUAAUUUGAAAUCAGUUUUGCUGAACUAAUGGAGCCAUCUCAUCCCAUGAAUCAACUGAGGGUGCCUGAAUAAAUUCAGGGUGGUCAGAUUAUUCCCAACAAAGCCAUAAAAAUAGUAGAUUGUUACAAUUGACAAGGGACCAAGUUCUGUCUAGUCAAGCAGAAAACUUGAAUUAAAGAGGUAUUCUAUGCAACAUAGAAAAAAUGUUUCAAAGAACAGAAUCAUUAAAAUUGUGCUGUUUUAAGUUUCCAGUUUGUUUAAUGGAAUAGCAUUAGUCAAAGAAAUUAAGUAGUGCCAACUAAACAUGUGCAAAUCUUGAAAACAUGCAAAGUGAAAGAAAUCAUACACACAGAAUCAUAUUAUAUGAUUCUACUUAUAUAAAAUGUCCAAAAUAGACACAUUUAUGUAGACAAAAAGGAGAUUAAUGGUUAUGAAGGAAAUGACCUAUAAUGACUAUGCAAUUUCUUUUGGGGGGUGAUGAAAAUGUCCUAAACUUAAUUAUGAAGAUGUUUACAUAAUUCUGUGAUUACAGAAGAAAUCAUUGAAUAGUGCAAGUUUAAAGGGUUUAAUUGUAUGGUUUUAUGAAUUAUAUCUCAGUAAAUCCAUUUAAAAACAUAAAAUGGUUGAACAUAGCUCUGGUUGUACUAGUGAACAACAGGCUAUCAAUGAAAUGCAGAUUGAUGACACUUCAUGAAUCUGAUAUUGGGCUAAUUCACUCAUACUUUUCCUCAAAUUAAAAUGACUCCCUGCACCAUGAGUAAGGCCAUCCACCCUUACAAGCAUGGCUGUUUCAGUCCAUUCUAAUUGACAUAAAUAAUUGUAAAAAUAUUUGAAAAUUUAAGAAUUGGGAAUAUCUUAUUUUUGUAAAGUAUCCAUUUG